GCCUGGCCAGGAACCUCUGGAGACCCUUGGCCCAUGGAUCCAGAUCUCCUCGCAGCUUUCUGCCCCACCUCGUCCUGCCACCCUUCUCCUCCCCAGUUCAUUUUGCAGGUGUCCAUCACAAAACUGAUCUCCAGGAGCUUCAGCCAAUGUUCAUCACCGUUAAACCUCCGCAGUGCUCCACGAGCAGAAGUGUUGUCCCCAUUCCAACCUUCCUCCGGCGUUGGAUUGGCCACCAGGAGCGGCCGAGGCCUCCUGACACCUGUCCUCUGUGCUCCUCACCGCUCUCCAACCACGGCCUCCUCAGCGGUGGCUUUGGCUCCGGGGAUGGAAACGACCUGGCAGGACCUCUCCGCGUUGAUUGCUCCUCGUUCUCCCGGUUGGAGUCCAUCACCGCUUGGAGAGAAGGUCCGGCAGCUGUGGGAUGCGGCUGCCAAGUCCUCUGCGCGGUGGCCGAGCGGUGGCAGCUCCUCUCCGGCUUUGGGCUCUCCUUCCAGCACCGAGAGCCGAGAUGCAGAGGGCCAAGGUUCUCCAGAGGUUCCUGGCCAGGCUGGAUCAUGGGCCAAGGUUCUCCAGAGGGUCCUGGCCAGGCUGGAUCAUGGGCCAAGGUUCUCCAGAGGUUCCUGGCCAGGCUGGAUCAUGGGGCCAAGGUUCUCCAGGGGUUCCUGGCCAGGCUGGAUCAUGGGGCCAAGGUUCUCCAGAGGGUCCUGGCCAGGCUGGAUCAUGGGCCAAGGUUCUCCAGAGGUUCCUGGCCAGGCUGGAUCAUGGGCCAAGGUUCUCCAGAGGUUCCUGCCCAGGCUGGAUCAUGGGCCAAGGUUCUCCAGAGGGUCCUGGCCAGGCUGGAUCAUGGGCCAAGGUUCUCCAGAGGUCCCUGGCCAGGCUGGAUCAUGGGCCAAGGUUCUCCAGAGGUUCUUGGCCAGGCUGGAUCAUGGGCCAACGGUCUCCAGAGGUUCCUGGCCAGGCUGGAUCACGGGCCAAGGUUCUCCAGAGGUUCCUGGCCAGGCUGGAUCACGGGCCAAGCUUCAAACCGUUGUCCUCGUCCUGUCCCACCACCAGAGCAUCUCCGCACCUUUUCCGGAGGCCCUUUCCCUACUGGAAGCUGCUCUAAGGUCCUCCCCACGACCUUCUCUUCUCCAGACUGCCCCAGCGUGGCCUCCUACGGAAGGUUCUCCAGCCCUGGGAUCAGCUGGGCUGCUCCUGAUCCUUUCUCCACCGGCCUGGCUGGAAACCAUGGAUCCUCCAAGGCAGGUGCAGGACUUUUUCCCAUCUGGGGUUGCGCGGGGACUGGGAAGACGUUGACCUUGAGGGCCAUUCCUGGUCUUGGCCGUGGAGGAAAGCCCCCGGUUGGGUUUCCCGUUUCGUUUCCAAGCAAUGACAUCAAGAAAAGAGGGGGGAGGAGAAACCCAACCGCAGCCUCGUUGCGCUCUUCGGGGCUUCAGAAACUUGGGAAGAGGAGGAGGAGGGGAGAGAGGAGGAGGAGAAACCUGGAGAAGGUGGAGCGGUGGGGCCGGAGGAGGUUCAAGGGCACCGUCGUCGGGAAUGGGUUGGGUGGGGAGGGACCUCCAGGCCCAUCUGCUUCCCCGAGCUGCGGCACUUGGAGCCCCUCCGAGCUUGACCUUCAACGCUUCCCGGGAUGGGGCUUCUCCUCCUUCUCCUUUCUUUUUCUCCCUCCUUUUGUUUCCGAGCCGGAGCUCAUUUCGAACCUUGGCGGAACGCGCUGCAGCUGCUGCGAUGGUCCUUCUCUUUUGAUCCCCGUUAUUAAUGAUCUGCCGGAACAGAUGCGACGCUGACGAGCGCAACGAUUAUUGCUCACCCAGAGCCGUUUGUUCUUCUCCCUCUUCUCCCCCCACUUCUGGAGGAGCUCAGGUGGUUUCGAAGGUCCUCCGCGGUGGGAAAAGAAUGGGAGAAAGACAUUGUUUGCUUUUAUUCCCAAAAUUAGGAUGGACCAACCCGGCCUGGAACCCCUCCGGGAAUGGUGGGAUGGGUUGGAAGGGACUUGAAAGAUCAGGGAAUCAUGGGUUGGGUUGGGAAGGAUCCCAAAGCCCAUCCGGUUCCACACUGGAUCAGGAGCUCCAGGGCCAUCCAACCCGGCCUGGAGGACCUCCAGGGAUGGGGCAGCCACGGCUUCUCCGGGCCUCCCUCACUGAGAACCACUUCCCGAUGUCCAACCUAAACCUUCCCCCUUCCAAUUGAAAGCCUUUUCCCCUCAUCCCACCGCUUGGAAAAACUCUUGGAGGGCUUCAAAAGCCGUGGAGAUGAUGCUUGAGGCCACACUGCCUUUGGAAUGGAGGAUCUUAGGAGGCUUUUCCAACCUCAGCGAUUCUAUCCCAGGAAGGUUUCGGUGUCCCCAUCCCUGGAGGGCUUCAAAAGCCGCUGAGAUGUGGCGCUGAGGGACCCGGUGGGGUUGGAUUGGAUGAUCUUAGGAGGCUUUUCCAACCUCAGCGAUUCUAUCCCAGGAAGGUUUUGGUGUCCCCAUCCCCGGAGGGCUUCAAAAGCCGCCGAGAUGUCGGGGCCGGCGCGGCGGGGGUUAAGCGUCGGCGCUGCCUCCCCUUCGCUCGCCCAUCUGGUGGGAACCCCGCGAGCCAUUUGGAGAUGAAUUUUUUACACGGAAUGCGCGCGGAGAGACGUCUCCAGCGACAACCUCGCCGGACUUGGACGGCGAGGAGGACAUUAAGUAUGGAUGGGCAGGCUGCCGCCGCGCCUUCGCCUCCCCCCCGCUCGCUGCCGGAAUGAUCAGCACAUUCCGGCGGUGGACACUUCGGCUCGAGAAGAACGCGUGGAACUGACGAAGCUCUUUGGCGAAGAGCAAAAUAAACCCUUCUAAGAUCCAUCCCAAAGCCCCAGAGAUGCUUCCGGUGGGUCCCAUCCCCACCUCGGCAAAGACGAUGCCGUGGGAAUAGCGAAAGCCCUCGCAGCUCAUUGCCAUUCCGAGCAGGAACGCCGCUCUCCGUACGGCGCCGGCAUCUGUCAGACCAACAGCUGAAGCUCCGGGAAGACGUUCCCGAGGUUCUUCUCCUCGACAGCGAGGACGGCGUUUGGGGACUUCGGCUGCGAAGCUCCGAGAUGACACAGCUUCUUUUUUCUUCUUCUUCUUUUGUUUCCCAUUUUUCCUUUAUUUUCCUUUCUAGGGAAUUAUUUGGGAGAAUCCUGGAAUGGGGUUGGGUUGGGAGGGACCUCAAAGGUCGUGAGAUCCUGGAAUGGGUUGGAAGGAACCUCAAAGGUCGUGAUUUGAUGAUCUUUUGCUCCUCUGCUUCUCCUCGAGCUCCAGAACGUCCUACGUUGGAAGGGAUCCACAGGGCCCAUGGAGUCCGGCUCCGGACAUGACAACCCCAACGUUCAUUCCAUGAAUCUGAGGGCAUCAUCCGGGUUCUUCUUGGAUAUCGUCAGGCUCAGCGGCCGCUUUGUCCCACGAGCUGUUGGCGCGGUUCCUCUCCAACUGCUCGACUCGGGAGAAGGACCACAGUCGGUGGAGAGCGGUUUGGCUCUUCCGUUCCCAAAUCCUCUUCCAUCUCCAAAGAGGAACACAACCUCUUCCAUCCCCAAAAGCCGAACUCGAGGAGAAGCACCACCUCUUCCACCUCCAAAGCCCACCACAACCUCCUCCACCUCCAAACCCAACGUGUCCACCUGCGCUUUCCCUUCUCCUCCAACCGCUCUCGGAGGAACGGACGCCACCGACGCUCUCCCAACGCCAAAGAGGUGGAACCGGAGGAGAAGGACUCAGUGAGGGGUGGAGAACCUCCAGAGGAACCACCAGUGAGGGCUCCCGGCCCAGAAUCCACCCACAUCCUGGGCUGCGCCCGGAGCCGCACCACCAGCGUGGACACGGAGGAGGUUCUCCUGCUCUGCUCUACUCCAGGAGACCCACCCGGAGCCCUGUUCAGA